AGAGGGUCUCCGAGUUCUCCUUGGAGUCCCUUCCUCUCAUUAUACACUAGUUUUUAAUAUUGAACGUGAUUGUGCCGUGAGGCCUUAAUAUUAAUACAACUUUUAACAACGGAUCUCUUGGCUCUCGCAUCGAUGAAGAACGCAGCGAAAUGCGAUAAGUAAUGUGAAUUGCAGAAUUCAGUGAAUCAUCGAAUUUUUGAACGCACCUUGCGCUCCCUGGUAUUCCGGGGAGCACGCCUGUUCGAGUGUCGUAAAAUUCUCAAACUGGGAUGCUUUUUUGUUUCUCGGCUUGGUGUUGGGCUUUGCAGUUCCUUUGAUUGGGAUAGCUGGCCUCAAAAGCAUUAGCUGGCUUUUCAUGUGGCAUUGGUUCUACUCAGCGUGAUAAUGAUCUGACCGCCGAGGACAUCUUUCGGGAUGGCCAAUUCUCAUUUGGGCUGCUUCUAAUUUUGGUAGAGCGGAUUCUGAAUCUGUUCCACUUUUCAGCUUUUGACCUCNAAUCAGGUGGGACUACCCGCUGAACUUAAGCAUAUCAAUAAGCGGAGGAAAAGAAACUAACAAGGAUUCCCCUAGUAACGGCGAGUGAAGCGGGAAGAGCUCAAAUUUAAAAUCUGGCAGUCUUUGAUUGUCCGAGUUGUAAUCUAGAGAAGCGNUUUUCCGCGCUGGACUGUGUACNAGUUUCCNUGGAUACNGAACAUCNUAGAGGGUGAGNANCCCGUCCUUGACACAGACUCCCUAGUGCUUUGUGAUGCGCUCUCGANGANUC
rnacentral:rRNA from 1 species